rnacentral:rRNA from 1 species
AUACGGAGGAUCCUAGUGUUAUCCGGAUUUAUUGGGUUUAAAGGGAGCGUAGGCGGGAGGUCAAGUCAGCUGUGAAAUGUAUCUGCUUAACGGGUACACUGCCUUCGAAACUGGUUUCCUUGAGUGUAGAUGAAGUAGGCGGAAUUUGUGGUGUAGCGGUGGAAUGCAUAGAUAUCACGAGGAACUCCGAUUGCGCAGGCAGCUUACUAAACUACUACUGACGCUCAGGCACGAAGGCGUGGGGAUCAAACAGGAUUAGAUACCCUGGUAGUCCACGCAGUAAACGAUGAUUACUAGCUGUUUGCGAUACAAUGUAAGCGGCUGAGCGAAAGCGUUAAGUAAUCCACCUGGGGAGUACGUUCGCAAGAAUGAAACUCAAAUGAAUUGACGGGG